AGUGUCGGCUAAAGACAAUUGUUUAUCGUAAUGUCUCCGUGUCAUGCAAAACUGAAGCAAAAGGUUAAGACACUGGAGAUGAUAUAAAAAUGCGCGUGAGAAUUCAACGCGCGCACUCCAACAAGAACGGACGACGGUCCAAGAAGAACAAGUGGCAAUCGGACAAGAAUAGGCGGAGAAUAACAACAAUUGGUGUCUCUUCGACUAGAAUUCAUCUUCACUCCUUUCCCAAAGAUCCAUCUACAACGUUUUCUUCAGGAACAUUACUAUCUGCAUUCGGGGAUUUGACAUUGUUCAAUUUUCUAUAAGGACUCCUCGACAUCAUUGUUUAUAAGGACUUUCUGACACACUUUUUCUACCUAAGGACUUAUCUUCCCGUUGGGGACGACAUCACCU
rnacentral:lncRNA from 1 species